rnacentral:tRNA from 1 species
CGGAGAGCCAAUACGACGGAGUGCCCAAAG